rnacentral:rRNA from 1 species
CCUACGGGUGGCAGCAGUGAGGAAUAUUGGUCAAUGGACGCAAGUCUGAACCAGCCAUGCCGCGUGCAGGAAGACGGCUCUAUGAGUUGUAAACUGCUUUUGUACGAGGGUAAAUCCCGAUACGUGUAUCUGGUUGAAAGUAUCGUACGAAUAAGGAUCGGCUAACUCCGUGCCAGCAGCCGCGGUAAUACGGAGGAUUCAAGCGUUAUCCGGAUUUAUUGGGUUUAAAGGGUGCGUAGGGGGUUGGUUAAGUAGGAGGUGAAAUCCCGGGGCUCAACCCCGGGAUUGCCUUUGAUACUGUUAGGCUAGAGUGGUGUAGAGGUAGGCGGAAUGCCUGGUGUAGCGGUGAAAUGCGUAGAGAUUA